rnacentral:rRNA from 1 species
UACGUAGGGCGCAAGCGUUGUCCGGAAUUAUUGGGCGUAAAGAGCUCGUAGGCGGUUUGUCGCGUCUGCUGUGAAAACCUAAGGCUCAACCUUGGGCUUGCAGUGGGUACGGGCAGACUAGAGUGCGGUAGGGGUGACUGGAAUUCCUGGUGUAGCGGUGAAAUGCGCAGAUAUCAGGAGGAACACCGGUGGCGAAGGCGGGUCUCUGGGCAACAACUGACGCUGAGGAGCGAAAGCAUGGGGAGCGAACAGG